AUUGAACGCUGGCGGCAGGCCUAACACAUGCAAGUCGAACGAGUCGCGGGCGGGUGUGUAAUGUCUGGGAAACUGCGUGGUGGGGGGAGAUCUCUACUGGAAGCUGUCGCUAAUACCGCAUACCAGCAGAUGUGCCCAGAUGGGAUUAGAUAGGGGGUGGGGUAACGGCUCACCAAGGCGACGACCCCUAGCUGGUCUGAGAGGAUGACCAUCCACACUGGAACGGAGACACGGUCCAGACUCCUACGGGAGGCAGCAGUGGGGAAUAUUGAACAAUGGGCGCAAGCCUGAUGCAGCCAUGCCGCGUGUAUGAAGAAGGCCUUCGGGUUGUAAAGUACUUUCAGCGAGGAGGCGUUACCCGCAGAAGAAGCACCGGCUAACUCCGUGCCAGCAGCCGCGGUAAUUC
rnacentral:rRNA from 1 species